CAGAGAAUAGUUUAAUUAAAAUAUUAGUUUUGGGGAUUAAUGAUAGGGAUGUUUCCUUUUCUCUGA
rnacentral:tRNA from 1 species